UACGAAGGGAGCUAGCGUUGUUCGGAAUCACUGGGCGUAAAGCGCACGUAGGCGGAUGUGUCAGUCAGGGGUGAAAUCCCGGAGCUCAACUUCGGAACUGCCCUUGAUACAGCACGUCUUGAGUCCGGAAGAGGUGGGUGGAAUUCCUAGUGUAGAGGUGAAAUUCGUAGAUAUUAGGAAGAACACCGGUGGCGAAGGCGGCCAACUGGUCCGGUACUGACGCUGAGGUGCGAAAGCGUGGGGAGCAAACAGG
rnacentral:rRNA from 1 species